GGGAAACUCACCAGGUCCAGACACAAUAAGGAUUGACAGAUUGAGAGCUCUUUCUUGAUUUUGUGGGUGGUGGUGCAUGGCCGUUCUUAGUUGGUGGAGUGAUUUGUCUGCUUAAUUGCGAUAACGAACGAGACCUUAACCUGCUAAAUAGCCAGGCCCGCUUUGGCGGGUCGCCGGCUUCUUAGAGGGACUAUCGGCUCAAGCCGAUGGAAGUUUGAGGCAAUAA
rnacentral:rRNA from 1 species